GCGUUCCUGUGACUCAGUCAGUAGAGCAUUGCGCUAGCAACGCAAAGGUCAUGGGUUCUAACCCCAGGGAAAGCA
rnacentral:tRNA from 1 species